rnacentral:rRNA from 1 species
UCCGUAGGUGAACCUGCGGAAGGAUCAUUAAAGAGUAAGGGUGCUCAGCGCCCGACCUCCAACCCUUUGUUGUUAAAACUACCUUGUUGCUUUGGCGGGACUGCUCGGUUCCGAGCCGCUGGGGAUUCGUCCCAGGCGAGUGCCCGCCAGAGUUAAACCAAACUCUUGUUAUUAAACCGAUCGUCUGAGUUAAAAUUUUGAAUAAAUCAAAACUUUCAACAACGGAUCUCUUGGUUCUCGCAUCGAUGAAGAACGCAGCGAAAUGCGAUAAGUAAUGUGAAUUGCAGAAUUCAGUGAAUCAUCGAAUCUUUGAACGCACAUUGCGCCCCUUGGUAUUCCGAGGGGCAUGCCUGUUCGAGCGUCAUUACACCACUCAAGCUAUGCUUGGUAUUGGGUGCCGUCCUUAGUUGGGCGCGCCUUAAAGACCUCGGCGAGGCCUCACCGGCUUUAGGCGUAGUAGAAUUUAUUCGAACGUCUGUCAAAGGAGAGGAACUCUGCCGAUUGAAACUUUUAUUUUUCUAGGUUGACCUCGGAUCAGGUAGGGAUACCCGCUGAACUUAAGCAUAUCAAUAAGCGGAGGA